rnacentral:rRNA from 2 species
AAGUCGUAACAAGGUUUCCACAGUUGGCAUCACCUACUGAAGCCUUGAAUCUCAGUCUUUUUAGGCAACACCUUUACUGUGCUUGGAUACCUAAAGGUAACAAGCAGCUGCUGAUGCAGUUCACAGAUCAAACAAAGGUGGUCCCCUGGGAAACCCAGAGGAUUGAAAUAUGACCGGCCUACUCCUGAAAUUUUAGUAGACCUUGUGUUCCGUAGGUGAACCUGCGGAAGGAUCAUUACAGAGAUAAUAUACUCUCUGGAGUAUGUCUCCCACCCUUUGUUUACAAUACUUCAGUUGCUUUGGCAGGCCUGUCAUACGGCUACCGGCUACGCUGGUCAGUGCCUGCCAGAGAACCCCAAACUCACUGUAAUUUGUCGUCUGAGUCCUAUAAAAUAAGUUAAAACUUUCAACAACGGAUCUCUUGGUUCUGGCAUCGAUGAAGAACGCAGCGAAAUGCGAUAAGUAAUGUGAAUUGCAGAAUUCAGUGAAUCAUCGAAUCUUUGAACGCACAUUGCACCUUCUGGUAUUCCGGGAGGUAUGCCUGUUCGAGCGUCAUUACAACCCUCAAGCUCCAAGCUUGGUAUUGGAUGCCACAAAUAUGGUGCAUCUCAAAAGCAGUGGCGGUGCCAUUCAGCUCCAAGCGCAGUAAAUUCCUCGCUCUGGAGUCUGGGUGCUGUGCCAGCCAGAACCCCCUAACAUUUCAAAGGUUGACCUCGGAUCAGGUAGGGAUACCCGCUGAACUUAA